rnacentral:rRNA from 1 species
UACGUAGGGGGCAAGCGUUGUCCGGAAUCAUUGGGCGUAAAGCGCACGUAGGCGGCGCAGUAAGUCGGACGUGAAAUCCCUCGGCUCAACCGAGGACGUGCAUCCGAAACUACUGUGCUCGAGUAUGGAAGAGGGUCGCGGAAUUCUCGGUGUAGAGGUGAAAUUCGUAGAUAUCGGGAGGAACACCAGUGGCGAAGGCGGCGACCUGGGCCAAUACUGACGCUGAGG